GGCGCUAUAGUGUAGUGGUUAUCACUUGGGAUUCUGAGCGCAGUGUUCCCAAAACCCAGGUUCGAGCCCUGGUAGCGCCU
rfam:Trametes cinnabarina, BRFM137, WGS project CCBP01000000 data, contig: scf184941